GUGUCAGCAGCCGCGGUAAAACGUAGGACGCGAGCGUUAUCCGGAGUUACUGGGCGUAAAGGGCGGGUAGGCGGCGUAUCAAGUUGGUUGUGAAAUCUCCUGGCUAAACUGGGAGGGUGCAAUCGAAACUGAUAGGCUAGAGGACAGCAGAGGGCCGUGGAAUUCCGGGUGGAGUGGUGAAAUGCGUAGAGAUCCGGAGGAACACCAGAGGCGAAAGCGGCGGCCUGGGCUGUAACUGACGCUGAACCGCGAAAGCCAGGGGAGCGAACGGGAUUAGAUACCCGGGUAGUCC
rnacentral:rRNA from 1 species